rnacentral:rRNA from 1 species
GGAUGCGAUCAUACCAGCACUAAAGCACCGGAUCCCAUCAGAACUCCGAAGUUAAGCUUGCUUGGGCGAGAGUAGUACUAGGAUGGGUGACCUCUUGGGAAGUCCUCGUGUUGCAUUCC